GGAAAGGCCGUAACUCAGUGGUAGAGCAACUGCUUUGAAUGCAGAAGGUCCCAGGUUCACUCCCCAACUUUUCCA